GAUGAACGCUAGCGGCAGGCCUAAUACAUGCAAGUCGAACGGUGUAGCAAUACACAGUGGCGCACGGGUGCGUAACACGUAUGCAACCUACCUUACAUUGGGGGAUAGCCUUUCGAAAGGGAGAUUAAUACCGCAUAAGACAGUAACUAGGCAUCUAGUAGCUGUUAAAGAUUUAUCGAUGUAAGCUGGGCAUGCGUCCAAUUAGUUAGUUGGCGAGGUAAUGGCUCACCAAGACGAUGAUUGGUAGGGGAACUGAGAGGUCAAUCCCCCACACUGGCACUGAGAUACGGGCCAGACUCCUACGGGAGGCAGCAGUAGGGAAUAUUGGGCAAUGGGCGCAAGCCUGACCCAGCCAUGCCGCGUGCAGGAAGAAGGCGUUAUGCGUUGUAAACUGCUUUUAUACAGGAAGAAACGACCCUUGCGAGGGGCAUUGACGGUACUGUAUGAAUAAGCACCGGCUAACUCCGUGCCAGCAGCCGCCGUAAAAC
rnacentral:rRNA from 1 species